UUGCUAAUCUUGCUUGCUUAAAUUAGACUUGUUUUCUUCUGAGUUAUUUUUCAUGAUAUCUUUUUAUUCCUAUCGAGUUGUUUGUCAUUUUAUCUAGAAUCAUUGACUUUACGGAAAAUCGGCUUCAAACUCCCUGUGUUUUAAGAAUUUCCCGCCAUAAUGAUUUUGCAACGCGCGCGACAAUUUUAAGUUGCUAAAAGUUUAUUUGGGAUAGAAAAAGGCAGCAAAUCGUCACUUCAUACGAAGAAAAACGACAAAUCACUCUAGGAAUUUAGCUGCAUAACCAGCUUAACGUAUCCACAUUCAAGAGAAGUUCUUUAGUGAAUAUAUCUAAUCGUCUGUGGAGGAUUUAAAGCAAAAGAAAACAUUUCUACGAUUAAUUCGAGUUGAAAACGACGUAUCAAUUUGGACUAAAAUUGUUGGUCAAAACCCAGAGAAUGUCUUCUUUGGAGGUUCUGUAUUUCUGGAUGAUUUUAAGCGUUGUGUGGAAAUACAAAAUGGAUUUUUUUGAAUGAUCAUGAACGAAAACAAUCUUCACGAACAUGGACGAAAGUCAGAAGCGAAACUUCGCCUCGUGCAACCAUAAGCCCGUAAGGUUAACAAAGUUGGAAAUUCUAUUGAGGAAAAAUAUAAAUAUGUUAUUUCCCACCUAAGGGUCGGUCCGUAUCGUGAAAUACCGUGACCUCGGCCUCCUAGCUGGUAAAUAACAUAUAUGUUCCUCUCUUAUCUUAUGUUCUCUUGUAUGAAGCCAAUUUUGCGAUUUUAUAGUAUGCCGAGAAACAUGAAAUGGUAACAAGAGAGUCGCGAUAAAUGUGUUUGUUUGUCGUCGAAUAAAAUAUUUAUUCUGGUCUUGACCUUCAAAGAUAUUGCAUUAGUGAAAUUUUAUCUUUUGAAGAGUGUUUUCGCUGCUCAUAUGAGAAAAAUUCGGGUAAUGACACACUUGGUCAUUCUUGAAAAAAAAAAGGCGACUGUCCAGUGCUAAAAAACGCUAGACUAGUUCCAGUACCGCGCGGUUAAACCAGCCUUUUUGUUUUGAAAUGGCGGCGUUUCACCGGCGAACUGUCACAUUUUGGCGAAUGCUAAGAAGACUAGACCAAACAUAAGGCUAUAAUUUUCUUUAUGACUCUCUCAUUAUCACACAAAUCUGUCAUCUUUUGUACAGUAUGGUUUUAAUUCUGUACAGUCAAAACAGCAACUGAAGUCAGCCUUUCGUACCUUUAAUCGAACUAUUCAACACUACGAUUGUGCUUGUUUUCGCCAGAGCAAGCGCAUGCGCAUACGUUAUUCAGCACUGUCGAGCAGAACCACAAGCGACAAACAGAAAGCGACAAAGAAACCACUGCUAAGGGACUACCUGAGGGCAAGAUGAAUUUGAAUGCUAAAGACUAAAAGACAUCAGAAUUGAUAAACAUGUCUUAAAGAUAACAGUAUGGAGUUCUUAUGCACUAGUGAUUUGAUACCCCCACACCCAUGGUCCCAGGAAAGGGCGAGGGAUUAGACCUUAAACAACUGUAAUAAAAGCCUCAUAUGAAACAAAUUGUACUCAAUUGCCUCUACCCCUUGUGGAAAUAACUGUACAUUUGAGAUGAUUUGCCAACAGAAAUGAGCUGUUUAUGUCUCUCAAAACGUUUUCAUAUAUGUUGAAUCGUAUACCGUAUAGGUAUCAAGAGAGAGAGAGAGAGAGAGAGAGAGAGAGAGAGAGAGAGAGAGAAAGAAUUUGCCUUCCUUACACUUCAUAUAAUCUGCAAAACAUUGUUAUCUAUUCCCCUGAUUGUGUUUUAUUAGAUAAUGGAAGGCUGUUUCCAAUUUUGUUUGCUGUCCUGGCUAGGAGAGACAAGUCUAAGAGUCAAAGGGGGAAAGGGUUAGUUAUAUGAAAGUACUGAAUAUAACUAUUGCAUCAUUGUUAUAUCAUUGUUAUAUAAGAGUCAUAUUUAUUUCUUUUUUUUCUCUCCCUGUUGACUAUAUAUUAAUGAAUAGAUAUAAAUGAACAGAUUUGGUUUAAUAAGAAAUUUUUAUUUAGCACUUUCACUUAGAUCUUUUUAGGAUUUGCUUUCCAAAUCAGUCUGUUUCCUAUUGCAUUUAUUUGGUAGUUAAAAUGGCUGGAUCCAGACUUUUUCUGAAAAAAAGAAGCAGCAGGCCACCAUGCUGAAUGGUGGGUGCACCAAAAUAUAAUGCAUUUCUUUAUGUAUAUUUGUGGAUUUUAAUUUCCAUGGGCAUGGAAAAACCACUAAGUCGUACAUGAAAACUUCAGUAUGGCAUCUAAAAUGUGUCCAACUAUACUAUUCUAUCUUUUUGAUGCUGUUAUACCCAUUACUUGUUCUUCCAACGACAAAGCUUGUCAGAAUGCAGCUUUGAUACAAAUGUAUUUUACCAAAACUUUUAUGAGGGGAAGGGGUUUUGAGGGCAGAUACUUAAAUUAUAUAACACUAGCAAUAACCUUGUGCUUUUUCAAUAAUAAAUCUGUAAAGAAAACAGUUUUAUAUCAACCUUAAGAUAAUGGGAAAAGUGAAAUGUCAAGAAAGUGCUCAAUCCAAA